rnacentral:rRNA from 1 species
UACGUAGGGGGCUAGCGUUGUCCGGAAUCAUUGGGCGUAAAGCGCGUGUAGGCGGUCCGGUAAGUCCGCUGUGAAAGUCGGGGGCUCAACCCUCGGAUGCCGGUGGAUACUGUCGGGCUUGAGUACGGAAGAGGCGAGUGGAAUUCCUGGUGUAGCGGUGAAAUGCGCAGAGUAUCAAGGAGGAACACCCGUGGCGAAGGCGGCUCCUCUGGUAGCGGUGACUGACGCUGAGACGCGAAAGCGUGGGGAGCAAACAGG